rnacentral:rRNA from 1 species
CAGGGAAAAUUCUGCUGUCACAUGGGGGCGGAGUUCUCUCCGCGGAUCAGUGGCGAACGGGUGAGUAACACGUGAGUAACCUGCCCUUGACUCUGGGAUAAGCGUUGGAAACGACGUCUAAUACCGGAUAGGACUUCCACAGGCAUCUGUGGGGGUGGAAAGAUUUUUCGGUCAUGGAUGGACUCGCGGCCUAUCAGCUUGUUGGUGGGGUGAUGGCCUACCAAGGCGACGACGGGUAGCCGGCCUGAGAGGGUGACCGGCCACACUGGGACUGAGACACGGCCCAGACUCCUACGGGAGGCAGCAGUGGGGAAUAUUGCACAAUGGGCGAAAGCCUGAUGCAGCAACGCCGCGUGAGGGAUGACGGCCUUCGGGUUGUAAACCUCUUUUAGCAGGGAAGAAGCGAAAGUGACGGUACCUGCAGAAAAAGCACCGGCUAACUACGUGCCAGCAGCCGCGGUAAU